AGUGGAAGAGUUAUGACUUCCAUGCCUCUGCUGCCUAUCAGUUGAAAAGCCCAUGGUAUGAAAAGCCAAUUAAUUGAUAUUAUUUAAAGACUGCUUUUCAUAGGAGUCCUUUGUUGGAGGGACUGAAUCUCAACUCUGUGCUAAAUUAUGCACAAGAGUUAAGGGAGUCUUAAGCAAAACAGGCCCUCAACCUCAGCUGUAGCCUGUAAUGUCACCAUAAUGAAGGCAAAUAAACAACGAUAAGAAGAAAACCCACUUCAGUCACCGCCAGAGACAGAAGCCAAAACAAGAAAAAUCUUGUGAGAACAGGUAAGCAGGGCCAAGCUGUCAAAAACCUUCAACAAGGAGCUGAAUUGUCAACA